UACAGGGGGUGCAAACGUUGCUCGGAAUCAUUGGGCGUAAAGCGCGCGUAGGUGGCCCCAUAAGUCCGCUGUGAAAGUCAAAGGCUCAACCUUUGAAAGCCGGUGGAUACUGUGGGACUAGAGUACGGAAGAGGCGAGUGGAAUUCCUGGUGUAGCGGUGGAAUGCGCAGAUAUCAGGAGGAACACCAAUAGCGAAGGCAGCUCGCUGGGACGUUACUGACACUGAGGCGCGAAAGCGUGGGGAGCGAACAGG
rnacentral:rRNA from 1 species